UAUGAUUUCAAUAAAUGUACAACUUUUAGAGCAGAAAUAGUGCAUCUAGUGUCAUCGAAAAACAGGGCCCAUAUCAGUUUUUUUUUCUAAAUUAAACUUAAAUUGAGCGCAUUAAAUGCACACCCCAACAUUUAGGCUCAAAUAACUGAAACUUGAAUUAGAAAACAUUUCUCUCACACCUUAGACACUGCUCGGCUAUUUCAGCCUCCGUUUUGCACCUGAGAUUUAAUUUGAUAAAAUUCAGGGUUUUGAGAAUAACCCUGCAUAGUUAUUCUUUGCAUGGCUGCUCCCCG